UACAUACUGUGCGAACGUUAUUCGGAAUCACUGGGCUUAAAGGGUGCGUAGGCGGCGAUUCAAGUCAGAUGUGAAAUGCCUGAGCUCAACUGAGGCAUUGCGUUUGAAACUGGAUUGCUGGAGUGUCCCAGGGGUGUGCGGAACUGCCAGUGGAGCGGUGAAAUGUGUUGAUAUUGGCAGGAACACCGGAGGCGAAAGCGGCACACUGGGGGAUAACUGACGCUGAGGCACGAAAGCCAGGGGAGCGAACGGG
rnacentral:rRNA from 1 species